rnacentral:rRNA from 1 species
GUCUGUGUGAAGUUAUACGGAGUCUAACCUGCCCACUGAAAAUUUUAAAGGCCGCGGUAUUUUAACUGUGCAAAGGUAGCAUAAUAAUUAGUUUUUUAAUUGGAAACUUGUAUGAAAGGUUGAACAAAGAAAAAUCUGUCUUUAAUGUUUAUUUUGAACUUUACAUUUAAGUGAAAAGGCUUAAAUAUAUUUAAGGGACGAUAAGACCCUAUAAAUCUUUACAUUUAUAUGUUUUUUAUUAGUUUAGAUUAAAAUUAAUUAAAUUAUAUAAUAUUUGUUUUAUUGGGGUGAUAGAAAUAUAAAUAAAAAACUGUUUUAGUAUCAAACAAAUAUAAUUGAUUAAAAUAAAGAUCCUUUUUUAAGAUUAAAAGUUUAAGUUACUUUAGGGAUAACAGCGUUAUUUUUUUUAAGAGUUCAUAUCGAAAAGAAAGUUUGCGACCUCGAUGUUGAAUUAAAAUUUCUUUGUGAUGCAGAAGUUUCAAAGGAAAGUCUGUUCGACUUUUAAAUUUUU